GAUGAACGCUGGCGGCGUGCCUAAUACAUGCAAGUCGAGCGAACAGACGAGGAGCUUGCUCCUCUGACGUUAGCGGCGGACGGGUGAGUAACACGUGGAUAACCUACCUAUAAGACUGGGAUAACUUCGGGAAACCGGAGCUAAUACCGGAUAAUAUAUUGAACCGCAUGGUUCAAUAGUGAAAGACGGUUUUGCUGUCACUUAUAGAUGGAUCCGCGCCGCAUUAGCUAGUUGGUAAGGUAACGGCUUACCAAGGCAACGAUGCGUAGCCGACCUGGGAGGGUGAUAGCAGACAGUGAGAGAGAAACACGGCCCAGCCUGCGGCGGAGGGCAGGAGGAGGGACUCUUGGGCAGGGGGAGAGAGGUUGACGGAGCAACGGGGGGGGGGGUGAAGGGGUCUUGGGACGGGAAAACUGUGUGAUUAGGGAAAAAAAAAUGUUUAACUAAGAGAAGAAGUCAUGACGGUACCUAAUCAAAAAGCAACGGCUAACUCCGUG
rnacentral:rRNA from 1 species